rnacentral:rRNA from 1 species
GAUGAACGCUGGCGGCGUGCCUAAUACAUGCAAGUCGAGCGAACAGACGAGGAGCUUGCUCCUCUGACGUUAGCGGCGGACGGGUGAGUAACACGUGGAUAACCUACCUAUAAGACUGGGAUAACUUCGGGAAACCGGAGCUAAUACCGGAUAAUAUAUUGAACCGCAUGGUUCAAUAGUGAAAGACGGUUUUGAUGUCACUUAUAGAUGGAUCCGCGCCGCAUUAGCUAGUUGGUAAGGUAACGGCUUACCAAGGCAACGAUGCGUAGCCGACCUGAGAGGGUGAUCGGCCACACUGGAACUGAGACACGGUCCAGACUCCUACGGGAGGCAGCAGUAGGGAAUCUUCCGCAAAGGGCGAAAGCCUGACGGAGCAACGCCGCGUGAGUGAUGAAGGUCUUCGGAUCGUAAAACUCUGUUAUUAGGGAAGAACAAAUGUGUAAGCAACUAUGCACGUCUUGACGGUACCUAAUCAGAAAGCCACGGCUAACUACGUG